UCUGGCUCCUAGAGGUAUUGCAGAUGUCGCUGCCCUGUCACACGUGUGGCAGUAGGUGGCAGAGAAGAGAGGUGGCAGAUGUCUAUGCUCAGUGUUCUGAGCUACAAACAUCUGAAUAAUUAGUAGCCCAACGUU